CGAGGGGCAGCACAGGUAGCAAUACCGGGUGGCGACCGGCGCACGGGUGAGUAACGCGUAUGCAACUUACCUAUCAGAGGGGGAUAACCCGGCGAAAGUCGGACUAAUACCGCGUGAAGCAGGGGCCCCGCAUGGGGAUAUUUGCUAAAGAUUCAUCGCUGAUAGAUAGGCAUGCGUUCCAUUAGGCAGUUGGCGGGGUAACGGCCCACCAAGCCGACGAUGGAUAGGGGUUCUGAGAGGAAGGUCCCCCACAUUGGUACUGAGACACGGACCAAACUCCUACGGGAGGCAGCAGUGAGGAAUAUUGGUCAAUGGGCGUAAGCCUGAACCAGCCAAGUCGCGUGAGGGAUGAAGGUUCUAUGGAUCGUAAACCUCUUUUAUAAGGGAAUAAAGUGCGGGACGUGUCCCGUUUUGUAUGUACCUUAUGAAUAAGGAUCGGCUAACUCCCUGCCAGCAGCCGCGGUAAUACGGAGGAUCCGAGCGUUAUCCGGAUUUAUUGGGUUUAAAGGGUGCGUAGGCGGCCUUUUAAGUCAGCGGUGAAAGUCUGUGGCUCAACCAUAGAAUUGCCGUUGAAACUGGGAGGCUUGAGUAUGUUUGAGGCAGGCGGAAUGCGUGGUGUAGCGGUGAAAUGCAUAGAUAUCACGCAGAACCCCGAUUGCGAAGGCAGCCUGCCAAGCCAUGACUGACGCUGAUGCACGAAAGCGUGGGGAUCAAACAGGAUUAGAUACCCUGGUAGUCCACGCAGUAAACGAUGAUCACUAGCUGUUUGCGAUACAGUGUAAGCGGCACAGCGAAAGCGUUAAGUGAUCCACCUGGGGAGUACGCCGGCAACGGUGAAACUCAAAGGAAUUGACGGGGGCCCGCACAAGCGGAGGAACAUGUGGUUUAAUUCGAUGAUACGCGAGGAACCUUACCCGGGUUUGAACGCAUUUCGACCGCUCUGGAAACAGAGCCUCUAGCGAUAGCGAUUUGCGAGGUGCUGCAUGGUUGUCGUCAGCUCGUGCCGUGAGGUGUCGGCUUAAGUGCCAUAACGAGCGCAACCCUUGCCACUAGUUACUAACAGGUGAUGCUGAGGACU
rnacentral:rRNA from 1 species